AAUGAACGUUGGCGGCACGCCUAAUACAUGCAAGUCGAACGCGAUCUUCGGAUCGAGUGGCGGACGGGUGAGUAAUACAUGGGAAUCUACCGAGAAGUGGGGAACAACUAUUGGAAACAGUAGCUAAUACCGCAUAAUCCACAUUGGGAAAGCUUUUGCGCUUUUCGAUGAGCCCAUGUCUGAUUAGCUAGUUGGUAAGGUAAAAGCUUACCAAGGCGACGAUCAGUAGCUGGUUUGAGAGGAUGAUCAGCCACACUGGGACUGAGACACGGCCCAGACUCCUACGGGAGGCAGCAGUAGGGAAUCUUGCGCAAUGGACGAAAGUCUGACGCAGCGAUGCCGCGUGAGUGAUGACGGUUUUCGGACUGUAAAGCUCUUUUAUUAGGGAAGAUAAUGACGGUACCUAAAGAAAAAGUCCCGGCUAACUCCGUGCCAGCCGCCGCCGUAAAAC
rnacentral:rRNA from 1 species